rnacentral:rRNA from 1 species
AACGAACGCUGGCGGCAGGCUUAACACAUGCAAGUCGAACGCUCUCUUCGGAGAGAGUGGCAGACGGGUGAGUAACGCGUGGGAAUCUACCCAUCCCUACGGGACAACUCCGGGAAACUGGAGCUAAUACCGGAUACGCCCUUCGGGGGAAAGAUUUAUCGCCGAAAGAUCGGCCCGCGUCGGAUUAGCUUGUUGGUGGGGUAAAAGCCUACCAAGGCGACGAUCCGUAGCUGGUCUGAGAGGAUGACCAGCCACACUGGGACUGAGACACGGCCCAGACUCCUACGGGAGGCAGCAGUGGGGAAUAUUGGACAAUGGGCGAAAGCCUGAUCCAGCCAUGCCGCGUGGGUGAAGAAGGCCCUAGGGUUGUAAACCCCUUUCAGCGGGGAAGAUAACGACGGUACCCGCAGAAGAAGCCCCGGCUAACUCCGUGCCAGCAGCCGCGGUAAUACGGAGGGGGCUAGCGUUGUUCGGAAUUACUGGGCGUAAAGCGCGCGUAGGCGGACUUUCAAGUCAGGGGUGAAAUCCCGAGGCUCAACCUCGGAACUGCCUUUGAUACUG